AUGCUUCCCUGCCAGGGAGACACGAUGGUCAUGAAGGUGCAGCUUAUCCAUUGCUCUCAAGAUGCGCCCUAUGAUUUCCACAAAUGUGGAAAAUGGAAAUACAUAAUUUGUGGUAGUGGGGAGCUAUGUUGGCCCUCUCUCCUCC
rnacentral:snRNA from 1 species